AAUUCGAAGGAAGAAUUAUAACAAAACAAAACAGUAAUGUUUUUUUUUAUCUCUUCGCCUAAAACUUCCAUUGUUUCUAGAUGGGCAACAUUUUAAUCUACAAACAUUUCUUUAGUAAUACAUUUUCUCUUUUUAAUAGUAGAUGACUGCACUACAUCUGUUGAUGAAUGAAAUGAUGCUUGUUUGAGUUUUGUCCAGACUUUGUUUUUUUAAAGCUUUUUAGAUAUCAAGUCAUUAUGAAUAGCCAUCACAUUGCUUACUGAAGAGCGCAUCCUGGGACUUACUUGGUCGAGGGGCAGUGGUGGGAAACGUAAGAAAUCAAAAUAAGAACAAAAUAGAGCCCCCAUCAUUCAACUCUGCAGCAUCUGACAAUUAUUUCAAAGCAAGUUGAAAAUUUUCAGCAUAAUUAGAGAUGAUGGACCUUGUGCCAUUAAACACUACUUUUUCAACUCAUUUUAAUGUAACUACUGAUGAGAGAGGACUUAACAGCUAAAAGAUGACAAUUAAGCUGAAGACAAAGAUUUGCCAAUUUUUUUUUCAUAUUAUAUCAAUAUU